AGAGUAGUAGCUCAGAGGAAGAGCAAUCUCCUUAUAAGAGAUAGGUCGAGAUUUCGAAACUCUCCUACUCUACCA
rnacentral:tRNA from 1 species